UGGGGAAUUUUGGACAAUGGGCGAAAGCCUGAUCCAGCAAUGCCGCGUGUGUGAAGAAGGCCUUCGGGUUGUAAAGCACUUUUGUCCGGAAAGAAAUCCUUGGCUCUAAUACAGUCGGGGGAUGACGGUACCGGAAGAAUAAGCACCGGCUAACUACGUGCCAGCAGCCGCGGUAAUACGUAGGGUGCAAGCGUUAAUCGGAAUUACUGGGCGUAAAGCGUGCGCAGGCGGUUUGCUAAGACCGAUGUGAAAUCCCCGGGCUCAACCUGGGAACUGCAUUGGUGACUGGCAGGCUAGAGUAUGGCAGAGGGGGGUAGAAUUCCACGUGUAGCAGUGAAAUGCGUAGAGAUGUGGAGGAAUACCGAUGGCGAAGGCAGCCCCCUGGGCCAAUACUGACGCUCAUGCACGAAAGCGUGGGGGAGCAAAACAGGAUUAGAUACCCCUGGUAGUCCACGCCCUAAACGAUGUCAACUAGUUGUUGGGGAUUCAUUUCCUUAGUAACGUAGCUAACGCGUGAAGUUGACCGCCU
rnacentral:rRNA from 1 species